rnacentral:rRNA from 1 species
UACGUAGGGGCCGAGCGUUGUCCGGAGUUAUUGGGCGUAAAGCGCACGUAGGCGGCUUUGUAAGUUAGAGGUGAAAGCCCGGGGCUCAACUCCGGAAUUGCCUUUAAGACUGCAUCGCUAGAACUGUGGAGAGGUAAGUGGAAUUCCGAGUGUAGAGGUGAAAUUCGUAGAUAUUCGGAAGAACACCAGUGGCGAAGGCGACUUACUGGACACAUAUUGACGCUGAGGUGCGAAAGCGUGGGGAGCAAACAGG